AUUGAACGCUGGCGGCAUGCCUAACACAUGCAAGUCGAACGGCAGCACGGCAGUAGCAAUACUGUGGGUGGCGAGUGGCGGACGGGUGAGGAAUACGUCGGAAUCUGCCCAGUCGUGGGGGAUAACUAGCCGAAAGGUUAGCUAAUACCGCAUACGACCGAGAGGUGAAAGCGGGGGACCGCAAGGCCUACGCGCGAUUGGAUGAGCCGACGUCGGAUUAGCUAGUUGGUGGGGUAAAGGCCCACCAAGGCGACGAUCUGUAGCUGGUCUGAGAGGAUGAUCAGCCACACUGGAACUGAGACACGGUCCAGACUCCUACGGGAGCAGCAGUGGGGAAUAUUGGACAAUGGGCGCAAGCCUGAUCCAGCAAUGCCGCGUGUGUGAAGAAGGA
rnacentral:rRNA from 1 species